GACCUCAAAUCAGGUAAGAGUACCCGCUGAACUUAAGCAUAUCAAUAAGCGGAGGAAAAGAAAAUAACAAUGAUUCCCUUAGUAACGGCGAGUGAAGGGGGAUAAGCUCAAAUUUUAAAUCUGACUAGGUUUUACCUAUCAGAGUUGUAUUUUGAAGAAGCGUUUUCCGCGUCUCGGUUGGCCCAAGUCCUUUGGGAUAAGGUAUCAUGGAGGGUGAGAAUCCCGUUCGGUUGACCUUAUGACGCUUUACGAUACGCUCUCAAAGAGUCGAGUUGUUUGGGAUUGCAGCUCAAAAUGGGAGGUAAAUUUCUCCUAAGGCUAAAUAUCGGCGAGAGACCGAUAGCGAACAAGUACCGUGAGGGAAAGAUGAAAAGAACUUUGAAAAGAGAGUAAAAUAGUACGUGAAAUUGUUGAAAGGGAAACGAUUGAAG
rnacentral:rRNA from 1 species